UACGGGGGGGGCAAGCGUUGUUCGGAAUUACUGGGCGUAAAGGGCUCGUAGGCGGCCAACUAAGUCGGAUGUGAAAUCCCCAGGCUCAACUUGGGAACUGCAUCCGAUACUGGAUGGCUUGAAUUCGGGAGAGGGAUGCAGAAUUCCAGGUGUAGCGGUGAAAUGCGUAGAUAUCUGGAGGAAUACCGGUGGCGAAGGCGGCAUCCUGGACCAACAUUGACGCUGAGGAGCGAAAGCUAGGGGAGCAAACGGG
rnacentral:rRNA from 1 species